UCGAGGGGCAGCACGGUAGCAAUACUGGUGGCGACCGGCGCACGGGUGCGUAACACGUAUACAAUCUGCCUUUAACUGGGGCAUAACCUUUCGAAAGAGAGACUAAUACCCCAUAAUAGUAGAGAAGGCAUCUUCUUUAUUUGAAAGCUCCGGCGGUUAAAGAUGAGUAUGCGGAUGAUUAGCUAGAUGGUGAGGUAACGGCUCACCAUGGCGACGAUCAAUAGGGGAUCUGAGAGGACUACCCCCCACACUGGUACUGAGACACGGACCAGACUCCUACGGGAGGCAGCAGUAAGGAAUAUUGGACAAUGCUCGCAAGAGUGAUCCAGCCAUGCCGCGUGCAGGAAGACGGCCCUAUGGGUUGUAAACUGCUUUUGAACUAGAGAAAACCCCCCUUCGUGAAGGGGGCUGAUAGUAUAGUUAGAAUAAGCAUCGGCUAACUUCGUGCCAGCAGCCGCGGUAAGACGAAGGAUGCAAGCGUUAUCCGGAUUCAUUGGGUUUAAAGGGAGCGUAGGUGGAUUUGUAAGUCAGUGGUGAAAGCCGGCAGCUUAACUGUCGAACUGCCAUUGAUACUGCGGAUCUUGAGUAUGGUUGCUGUGGGCGGAAUAUGACAUGUAGAGGUGAAAUUCAUAGAGAUGUCAUAGAACACCGAUUGCGAAGGCAGCUCACAAAGCCAUUACUGACACUGAGGCUCGAAAGUGCGGGGAUCAAACAGGAUUAGAUACCCUGGUAGUCCGCACUGUAAACGAUGAUUACUCGCUGCUAGGAGGUAACUUUUAGUGGCUAAGCGAAAGCGAUAAGUAAUC
rnacentral:rRNA from 1 species